rnacentral:rRNA from 1 species
CAGUCGCCGCGGGAAUACGUAGGUGGCAAGCGUUGUCCGGAAUUAUUGGGCGUAAAGGGCUCGCAGGCGGUUUCUUAAGUCUGAUGUGAAAGCCCCCGGCUCAACCGGGGAGGGUCAUUGGAAACUGGGAAACUUGAGUGCAGAAGAGGAGAGUGGAAUUCCACGUGUAGCGGUGAAAUGCGUAGAGAUGUGGAGGAACACCAGUGGCGAAGGCGACUCUCUGGUCUGUAACUGACGCUGAGGAGCGAAAGCGUGGGGAGCGAACAGGAUUAGAUACCCCGGUAGUCCCUGUCUCUUAUAA